rnacentral:ncRNA from 2 species
UACCAAUCGAGAGUGAUGGGGAGAGAAUUGGCUCGAUGAUCCAUCCGGCAACCGAGUAGAACGAAUUUGUCACGGUGCCCCACCCAACCCAGUAAAGGGAAGGAUUAGUC